GGCAGUGUGAGGGAUGGAAUGAGUUUCUGGGCACUCUGCCCUGGGCACAGUGGAGGCAGGGAGGGUGCAGAAGAGAGGCCUUACAGCGCGGAGAACCACAGGGAACCACAGGAUGAGCUUUCCAGAAGGGGCGACACUAAUGCCAGGAGGCCAUCCCUGCACUCUGUGCCUCGGGAGCAUCUAUGAAACAGGGCACUGGCCCCAAGCCUUGGAGUUGUGAAGAUUUAAGAGGAGACCAUGUCAAAGUAGAUAUGAAGCAACAUGCAUCCGAUGUGAACACAAAAAGAAGAGCAAGAGGCAGAGGGGGAAGCCAUUUACCACAGGAUAAGCCAGGCCUCGAGGCCAGCCUUCCUGACUCCAAGUCCAAAGCCAUUUUUCUCCCACCACCCCACAGCUUGGGGUCCUCCCACACUGUUGCUGUUGAUUAAAAUAGAUAUUU